AUUUAAAUAGCUUAUAGAGAGCAUGAUAGUGAAGUUAUCAAGGAGAAUAAAUUAUUCUUUAAAUA
rnacentral:tRNA from 1 species